AUAGAAACAUUCUUGUCAUAAACAGCAAGAUAUCUUUACAUACUAUAAAAAUAUACGUCAGUUAACAAGAUGUUUAAACAGUUGGCUUUUAUCGUUUUUGCGAUCCUGAUUAAUAAAUCCAUGACUCAGAACGACCAGACCCCACCGACGCCGCUUCCGGUACUACUCAAUGCGACUAUGCCAGAAGGAGCAGCGGUGCCAACGACACCAAGGAGUCAAGGUUUGUCGUGCAUAGAUGAUUGUUUACGCAAUGCAUCUUUACGAUAUCCUAUUUCGGCAGUACGUUGUGCAAUUCAGUGUAAUUGAUAUGUUAAUCUUGUAUCAAACGCACCUUGUCCUCCAUGAGUACGUCCUACAAGUUUACAACUUUAUUCGUAGUAUUGCUACUAAUUGUAUUUAAUGCUGUCCUUUGUUAUUUA